rnacentral:tRNA from 1 species
GCAGCUGUGGUUCAGUGGUAGAAUUCUCGCCUUCCAUGCAGGAGACCCGGGUUUGACUCCCAGUCAAUGCA